UAACGAUGAAGAGUUUGAUCCUGGCUCAGGAUGAACGCUAGCGGCAGGCCUAAUACAUGCAAGUCGAGGGGUAACAGGAAGUGCUUGCACUUCGCUGACGACCGGCGCACGGGUGAGUAACGCGUAUACAAUCUGCCUCAUACUAGAGGAUAGCCCGAAGAAAUUUGGAUUAAGACUCUAUAGUAUCAUUUAAAGACAUCUUUUUAUGAUUAAAGGUUACGGUAUGAGAUGAGUAUGCGUUCUAUUAGUUUGUAGGUGAGGUAACGGCUCACCUAGACUGCGAUAGAUAGGGGCCCUGAGAGGGGGACCCCCCACACUGGUACUGAGACACGGACCAGACUCCUACGGGAGGCAGCAGUAAGGAAUAUUGGUCAAUGGACGAAAGUCUGAACCAGCCAUGCCGCGUGCAGGAUGAAUGCCCUAUGGGUUGUAAACUGCUUUUAUAUAGGAAGAAAAACUUUCUCGUGAGAAAGCUUGACGGUACUAUAAGAAUAAGGAUCGGCUAACUCCGUGCCAGCAGCCGCGGUAAUACGGCGGAUCCAAGCGUUAUACGGAAUCAUUGGGUUUAAAGGGUCCGUAGGUGGACAAAUAA
rnacentral:rRNA from 1 species